GCGUCCUGACCUCGUUCUGGCUGUUCCCCUCACCGGAGCUGUGGUGGUGGGGUCUGGGGGCGGACGCAGAUCAACUUACUCUCGUGUUAGGAGGGCUGCCAAAGGCAUGUGCAAGCCCUUAAAGGCAAGAGAGGACACU
rnacentral:snoRNA from 1 species